rnacentral:rRNA from 1 species
GAUGAACGCUGGCGGCGUGCCUAAUACAUGCAAGUCGAGCGAACGGACGAGAAGCUUGCUUCUCUGAUGUUAGCGGCGGACGGGUGAGUAACACGUGGAUAACCUACCUAUAAGACUGGGAUAACUUCGGGAAACCGUAGCUAAUACCGGAUAAUAUUUUGAACCGCAUGGUUCAAAAGUGAAAGACGGUUUUGCUGUCCCUUAUAGAUGGAUCCGCGCUGCAUUAGCUAGUUGGUAAGGUAACGGCUUACCAAGGCAACGAUGCAUAGCCGACCUGAGAGGGUGAUCGGACACACUGGAACUGAGACACGGUCCAGACUCCUACGGGAGGCAGCAGUAGGGAAUAUUCCGCAAUGGGCGAAAGCCUGACGGAGCAACGCCGCGUGAGUGAUGAAGGUCUUCGGAUCGUAAAACUCUGUUAUUAGGGAAGAACAUAUGUGUAAGUAACUGUGCACAUCUUGACGGUACCUAAUCAGAAAGCCACGGCUAACUACGUG